rnacentral:rRNA from 1 species
CUCCGGUUGAUCCUGCCGGACCCGACUGCUAUCAGAGUGGGACUAAGCCAUGCGAGUCAACAUAGCAAUAUGUGGCAUACGGCUCAGUAACACGUAGUCAACAUGCCCAGGGGACGUGGAUAACCUCGGGAAACUGAGGAUAAACCGCGAUAGGUCAUCACUUCUGGAAUGGGUAAUGACUUAAAUCUAUAUGGCCCCUGGAUUGGACUGCGGCCGAUCAGGCUGUUGGUGAGGUAAUGGCCCACCAAACCUGUAACCGGUACGGGCUCUGAGAGGAGGAGCCCGGAGAUGGGCACUGAGACAAGGGCCCAGGCCCUAUGGGGCGCAGCAGGCGCGAAACCUCUGCAAUAGGCGAAAGCUUGACAGGGUUACUCUGAGUGAUUUCCGUUAAGGAGAUCUUUUGGCACCUCUAAAAAUGGUGCAGAAUAAGGGGUGGGCAAGUCUGGUGUCAGCCGCCGCGGUAAUACCAGCACCCCGAGUGGUCGGGACGUUUAUUGGGCCUAAAGCAUCCGUAGCCGGUUCUACAAGUCUUCCGUUAAAUCCACCUGCUUAACAGAUGGGCUGCGGAAGAUACUAUAGAGCUAGGAGGCGGGAGAGGCAAGCGGUACUCGAUGGGUAGGGGUAAAAUCCGUUGAUCCAUUGAAGACCACCAGUGGCGAAGGCGGCUUGCCAGAACGCGCUCGACGGUGAGGGAUGAAAGCUGGGGGAGCAAACCGGAUUAGAUACCCGGGUAGUCCCAGCUGUAAACGAUGCAGACUCGGUGAUGAGUUGGCUUAUUGCUAACUCAGUGCCGCAGGGAAGCCGUUAAGUUUGCCGCCUGGGGAGUACGGUCGCAAGACUGAAACUUAAAGGAAUGGCGGGGGGAGCA